rnacentral:rRNA from 1 species
UACGAAGGGGGCUAGCGUUGUUCGGAAUCACUGGGCGUAAAGCGCACGUAGGCGGCUUUUUAAGUCAGGGGUGAAAUCCUGGAGCUCAACUCCAGAACUGCCUUUGAUACUGAGAAGCUUGAGUCCGGGAGAGGUGAGUGGAACUGCGAGUGUAGAGGUGAAAUUCGUAGAUAUUGGGAAGAACACCGGUGGCGAAGGCGGCUCACUGGCUCGUAACUGACGCUCAUGCACGACAGCGUGGGGAUCAAACAGG